GAUGAACGCUAGCGGCAGGCCUAAUACAUGCAAGUCGAGGGGCAGCAGGACUGUAGUAAUCCUGUUGCUGGCGAGCGGCAAACGGGUGCGGAACACGUACGCCACUUACCCUGAACUGGGGGAUAUUCCGGGGAAACCCGGUAUAAUACCCCGAAAUAUAAAGGCGCGGGAUUACUUUAUUAUUAAAGCUCCGGCGGUCCGUGAUGGGCGUGCCGCUGCUUAGGUAGUUGGUUGAGGUACCGGCUCACCAAGCAUACGAUCAGUAACUGGCGGGAGGGCACGACCAGUCACACGGGCACUGAGACACGGGCCCGACUCCUACGGGAGGCAGCAGUAAGGAAUAUAGGGCAAUGGAGGCGACUCUGACCCAGCCAUGCCGCGUGGAGGAUGAAGGCCAUCUGGGUUGUAAACUUCUUUUAUAGGAGACGAAACCUGUGUAUUCUUACGCAGUUGACGGUACCCUAGGAAUAAGCACCGGCUAACUCCGUG
rnacentral:rRNA from 1 species